UACGGAGGGUGCAAGCGUUAUCCGGAUUUACUGGGUUUAAAGGGUGCGUAGGUGGGUAGGUAAGUCAGUGGUGAAAUCUCCGGGCUUAACUCGGAACGGUCAACUGAUACUGUGCGACUAGAGUGCAGAAGGGGCAACUGGAAUUCUCGGUGUAGCGGUGAAAUGCGUAGAUAUCGAGAGGAACACCUGCGGCGAAGGCGGUUACCUGGAGCUUUGCUGACGCUGAGACGCGAAAGCGUGGGGAGCAAACAGG
rnacentral:rRNA from 1 species